rnacentral:lncRNA from 1 species
UCCUAACUCAAUCAGAGUUCAACGCAGCAUUAAUAACAAAAUCAACUUCAUAAUAUAAUUGAAUUGUCUUAAUACAAGAGUUUAUAUAAGUUCAGAGUUUUGGAGCACUAACUAAACAUAAAGGAAAAUGUACAAAGUACAACCAAAGAGCAGGUUCUGAAGGUCCAACAAAAUGACCUGCUAUCAAGCUAUAAGCCUGAAAAUGAUAAAUAAUGAGAUGGUGAGUUCAACAACUCAGUGAGUAGAUAACAUUCAAUAUACACACACGAGGUAAUACAGCAAUGAGAAAUAUAUAUACAAGUAUGGCUUUAGGUUCUUAUGGAAGUGUUCUCAAAUUGGUCAUAACAAGAAGAUCAUAUGGUAAAACUCGUCAGAAAAUCAAAAUGCAAUGAGCAUGAGGCUCCGUACUGUGGGAUGAUCAGUCCACACAGGUUGGUGACUCCCCCGACCAACUAGGGUUCAGAUACGAUAUGCACAAAGACUAACACUACCCUGUUAGCAUGGGUAUUCUGAGUGACAUACCAUAGGUUCAUAAUCAUAAUCAAACAGAUAUAUUCAUAUCUCAAGGCUCAACUCAUGACAUCAAUCAAAUGAGGAGCUAUCAAUUCAGAAUUCAAUUCAAAAUAUAUACUGGUUCAUAUCAAGAAUUCAGAUUCAACAAUUGAUCAUGCUUUAUCAAAAUAAGGAUAAUAAUCAACAUAUAUAUUAUCAAGAAGUACGAUCCAAUUCAUAUUAACAAAUCAAAUAUUUAUAAUAUUUCCCAUGCAUAUGGAAAAUUAUCCACUCACCUGACUCGAAAGCAACAAAACUCAAAGCUGAUAUCAAAGGAAAUCCUACUGAUGUCCCGCCGGUAGAAUAUCAGGAUUAUCUGAAUACAAAGGAGACAUAUUUAAGAAUGACUCAAAAGAAUAUAUAUAACCUAUUUAAUACACUUAUCUAAGGGUGUAUUCCGUAACCCUAUAUGUUUUUGAACUAACUAGUUAUCUUUCCUAAAAACCCAACAUUUAACGGUUUUCCCGAAAUCUAAUCCAUAAUAAAACAACUAAUAAAAUUGAUAAUAAUUUACUAAAUAACCCUUAAUUAUUCAUCAAACCAAUCUGCAAAAGCUAGUAUUACAGCUAGGGACUAAUCUGUAAUUUAUCCUAUUUUUAAGGGUCAAAUUGCAACUUUUGUCAAAUUGAAGGACCAAACUGAAAUUGUCAUAAAUCCAUUACUAUACUGAAUUUCUGACCAUAAUUAGUCCUCAUUUCUGUCCAGAUCAUCUCAUUAUACUCCAAGGACCAUUCUGGAAUUUUACCAAAUUUUUAGGGUCAAAUUGGAGGACCAAACUGAAAUUUAUCAUAAAUCCAUGAAUAUACUGAAAUUCUGACCAUAAUUAGUCCUCAUUUCUGUCCAGAUCAUCUCAUUAUACUCCAAGGACCAUUCUGGAAUUUUACCAAAUUUUUUUAGGGUCAAAUUGUAAUUUGUGUCAAAUUGAAGGACUAAAUUGAAAGUGUUAAAUUCUCUUAUCUAUAUAGUAAUUCUGUCCAUAAUUCAUAUGUUAUUCUGUUCAGAAUCUCGGAAUAUGCUUCAGGGACCAAUUUUUAAUUUUCCAAAGUUCGGGGACUAAACUGUAAUUUUCCAAAAUUGAGGGACCAAAUUGAAUUUUCAUCAUCUUCAACCUCCAACUCAGAAUUCUCACAGAUUACCUACUGUUCUUGCCAAAUUUCUAACUCAACAUUCACCAUUUACACAAUUCAUAACUCAAAAUCAUCAUAAUCUUCCAUAAUCAACUCAUUAAUCAAUUACCCAUAACAAUCAACCUUAUAACAUUCAAUUUAAUUCAUCAAUUAAACCCAAAACACAAAUUUUCAAAACCCUAACAUUCAUCAAAACUGAAAUUAAGUUCAAUUAACAUACAUUUAUACAUUUAACAACCUAAAUCUUACCUUUAAACUUAUUCUCUUCAACUCUUUUCUAUUUCCCUUCUAAUUUCCUUCUUUUCUCUUCUUCUUCUUCUUUCUCCCUUCUCUCUCACGGUUUG